GAUGAAGAACGCAGCGAAAUGCGAUAAGUAAUGUGAAUUGCAGAAUUCCGUGAAUCAUCGAAUCUUUGAACGCACAUUGCGCCCCCUGGUAUUCCGGGGGGCAUGCCUGUCCGAGCGUCAUUGCAACCUUCAAGCGCGGCUUGUGUGUUGGGUCUCGUCCCCCGUGGACGGGCCCGAAAGGCAGUGGCGACGUCCCGACAUGGUGCCCGAGCGUAUGGGAAUCCUCUUCCGCUCGAAUCGGCCCAUGCGGCGCUGGUCGUAACCAAAUUUUUUACCGGUUGACCUCGGAUCAGGUAGGGAUACCCGCUGAACUUAAGCAUAUCAAUAAGCGGAGGA
rnacentral:misc_RNA from 1 species